rnacentral:rRNA from 1 species
UGUCCUACGGGGGGCAGCAGUGGGGAAUAUUACACAAUGGGGGGAACCCUGAUGCAGCGACGCCGCGUGAGUGAAGAAGUAUUUCGGUAUGUAAAGCUCUAUCAGCAGGGAAGAAAAUGACGGUACCUGACUAAGAAGCCCCGGCUAACUACGUGCCAGCAGCCGCGGUAAUACGUAGGGGGCAAGCGUUAUCCGGAUUUACUGGGUGUAAAGGGAGCGUAGACGGUUAUGCAAGUCUGAAGUGAA